AGGCACUUUGUAUUCUGGUUACAAGUGUGGGCCUAGAAGUCAGAAUGCCUUGAAUCUAAGAUCCUGUACUACCACUUAGAGCCUCGGUCUCCUCACCAGCCUGGGAUCCUGCAGCCCUGAGAAGCAACACUCUAGAAAACAGAGACCCAAUUUACUGAGUCUUAUUCCUCAAGAGUUCCUGAUAACUUCAAAGAAUUAUCCACGAGCUGGGUAUUUUGGUGUUGAAAAGAGGCCACCUGCUGAAAGCGACUGUGAACCACCAGGGGCCUUCCAGCAUCAGCAGGACCGCAGCACAGUGCGUGGGUGCUGGGAGGUCAGACACCCGGUGCCU